GACGAACCGAGCGAACGUUAUUCGGAAUUACUGGGCUUAAAGAGUUCGUAGGCGGCGCAGAAAGUAGGGUGUGAAAGCCCUCGGCUUAACCGAGGAAUUGCGCUCUAAACUACUGUGCUUGAGGAACCUAGAGGUGAGCAGAACUGAUGGUGGAGCGGUGAAAUGCGUUGAUAUCCUUAGGAACACCGGUGGCGAAAGCGGCUCACUGGGUCUCUUCUGACGCUGAGGCACGAAAGCUAGGGGAGCAAACGGG
rnacentral:rRNA from 1 species